rnacentral:rRNA from 1 species
UACGUAGGCAGCAAGCGUUGUUCGGAGUUACUGGGCGUAAAGGGUGCGUAGGCGGCCUCUUAAGUCUGGUGUGAAAUCUCCCGGCUCAACUGGGAGGGUGCGCCGGAUACUGAGGGGCUAGAGUGUGGGAGAGGAAAGUGGAAUUCCUGGUGUAGCGGUGAAAUGCGUAGAUAUCAGGAGGAACACCGGUGGUGUAAACGGCUUUCUGGACCAUAACUGACGCUGAGACACGAAAGCGUGGGUAGCAAACAGG